AUUGAACGCUGGCGGCAUGCCUUACACAUGCAAGUCGAACGGCAGCACGGGGCAACCUGGUGGCGAGUGGCGAACGGGUGAGUAAUGCAUCGGAACGUACCUUUCAGUGGGGGAUAACGUAGCGAAAGUUGCGCUAAUACCGCAUAUUCUGUGAGCAGGAAAGCAGGGGAUCGCAAGACCUUGCGCUGAUUGAGCGGCCGAUGUUAGAUUAGCUAGUUGGUGAGGUAAAGGCUCGCCAAGGCGACGAUCUGUAGCGGGUCUGAGAGGAUGAUCCGCCACACUGGAACUGAGACACGGUCCAGACUCCUACGGGAGGCAGCAGUGGGGAAUUUUGGACAAUGGGGGCAACCCUGAUCCAGCCAUGCCGCGUGGGUGAAGAAGGCCUUCGGGUUGUAAAGCUCUUUCGGCCGGGAAGAAAUCGCACGGGCUAAUACCCUGUGUGGAUGACGGUACCGGAAUAAGAAGCACCGGCUAACUACGUGCCAGCCGCCGCUGUAACAC
rnacentral:rRNA from 1 species